rnacentral:rRNA from 1 species
ACACCCUACGGGAGGCAGCAGUAGGGAAUUUUCGUCAAUGGGCGCAAGCCUGAACGAGCGAUGCCGCGUGAGUGAAGAAGGCCUUCGGGUCGUAAAGCUCUGUUGCGGGGGAAAAAAGGCAGCAUCAGGAAAUGGGUGCUGACUGAUGGUGCCCCGCCAGAAAGUCACGGCUAACUACGUGCCAGCAGCCGCGGUAAUACGUAGGUGGCGAGCGUUAUCCGGAUUUAUUGGGUUUAAAGGGUGCGUAGGCGGACUGUUAAGUCAGCGGUAAAAGCCCGGGGCUCAACCCCGGCGAGCCGUUGAAA